UUUUGAAGCUAGCCAAACAAGGCCCUAAGAGGAGUUGGUGCAGUUAACCCAUGAUUGGGCCAACUGACCACUCUGCGCUCAGUUCUCUGAUCAUUAUAUACGACGUCUUCUUUUUCUUUUUUCAUUUUUGCCUAAGUCUAAGAAAUAUUCAGAGAAAGUCUGAGAAUUUCCAAGAAGAAUUAAGAUACUGUGAAAGAGAAUUGAGAGUGAGGAAAC
rnacentral:lncRNA from 1 species